UGGGAGCCAUUUUCUCGGCGUGCCCUCCCCUUUCCUGGAGGGAUCAGCGCCAUUUAGGGGGCUUUCUGUGGGCUUCCCCAGUGGGCAUGGGUGGGAAGGUGGCAUUCAGCAUCCUCAGAAUGACGGAGCUUUGAAGGGAUGUGCCGACUCCAUUCUGGGCCCAGGCUGUGAAAUUGGGAGAAGUGGCCACAUCAUCACUGUGAGGUGUCAUGCGAGCAUUUUGUAUGCGGAGCUUCAUUGAAAUCUCACAUCAACCUGAUAGGAAGACGUCAUCACGCCUACUUUAUCGACAGGAAAACUAAAAUCUCCAAGAAGGGAAUUGACUUGACCAAGGUAACCGAUUGGUGAAAGAAGCCCCGGAGAGGCCCACACACUGGCCCACAGCCAUGUGGAGUGAACCGGAAACUCAGUCUUGCACGGAGCUCUACAAGGCCUCCUUCGCUCGCCUCCCGGAACGAGCCUGCCAGGGUAGAUGGAUCACUCCUGAAGUCCCCCCACCCGCCAGCCGCACUACAUCGAGGCUUCAAUUAGCCGAAUGUGUUCCACGUUCCAGGGACAGAACAGCGCUGAGCCUCUGUGAGAUCUUCCGCCACGAUCUGCGCUCACGUAUG